AACACUGGACUUAAUUCAGGAUUGAAAGUAGUAGCCAUGGCCAGUGGCACUGUGUAGAAGUACCCUAAAUUAAUGGGGUCAGGUAUUACAAGACUCUCAGAGAUGUGACUUUCUAGGAUGUAUAAGAUAUUGAUGUAGAGACUGUGAUGUCAUAUAGGAAGGGGAGAUUUGCAAAGGGAGUGGAUAAUGUGGAGAGGUCCGCAGGCCCCUAUAUGUAUUGUGGCAAUUGAAGGAGAAGCACAGGUGCACCGGCACUACAACAACCACAAUGCCCUUAGAUACACAGAGAAUGGGCCGAUGAUGCAGUGACUCUUAAUGGAUUACAGAUCCAUAAAAACAAGCCUGAAAACGGUUCCUGAGGAUUUGGCAAAAGAAAUACGUUGAACCGGAGUGUAACAAGGAUUUACAAAUACACCGGGAAGCAUCAACAG